GACGAACGCUGGCGGCGUGCCUAAUACAUGCAAGUCGAGCGGACCGAACGAGGGCUUGCUCUUGUUUGGUCAGCGGCGGACGGGUGAGUAACACGUGGCAACCUGCCCGCAAGACCGGGAUAACUCCGGGAAACCGGAGCUAAUACCGGAUAACACCGAAGACCGCAUGGUCUUCGGUUGAAAGGCGGCCUUUGGGCUGUCACUUGCGGAUGGGCCCGCGGCGCAUUAGCUAGUUGGUGAGGUAACGGCUCACCAAGGCGACGAUGCGUAGCCGGCCGGAGAGGGUGACCGGCCACACUGGGACUGAGACACGGCCCAGACUCCUACGGGAGGCAGCAGUAGGGAAGCUUCCGCAAUGGGCGAAAGCCUGACGGAGCGACGCCGCGUGAGCGAAGAAGGCCUUCGGGUCGUAAAGCUCUGUUGUGAGGGACGAAGGAGCGCCGUUCGAGGAGGGCGGCGCGGUGACGGUACCUCACGAGAAAGCCCCGGCUAACUACGUGCCAGCAGCCGCCGUAA
rnacentral:rRNA from 1 species